CCUACGGGUGGCAUCAGUGGGGAAUAUUGGACAAUGGGGGCAACCCUGAUCCAGCCAUGCCGCGUGUGUGAAGAAGGCCCUCGGGUUGUAAAGCACUUUCAGUGAGGAAGAACGCCUGGUGGUUAAUACCCAUCAGGAAAGACAUCACUCACAGAAGAAGCACCGGCUAACUCCGUGCCAGCAGCCGCGGUAAUACGGAGGGUGCGAGCGUUAAUCGGAAUUACUGGGCGUAAAGCGCGCGUAGGUGGCUUGAUAAGCCGGUUGUGAAAGCCCCGGGCUCAACCUGGGAACGGCAUCCGGAACUGUCAAGCUAGAGUGCAGGAGAGGAAGGUAGAAUUCCCGGUGUAGCGGUGAAAUGCGUAGAGAUCGGGAGGAAUACCAGUGGCGAAGGCGGCCUUCUGGACUGACACUGACGCUGAGGUGCGAAAGCGUGGGUAGCAAACAGGAUUAGAUACCCUGGUAGUC
rnacentral:rRNA from 1 species